rnacentral:rRNA from 1 species
GACAGCAGUAGCCACGGUAAUACGAAGGGUGCAAGCGUUACUCGGAAUUACUGGGCGUAAAGCGUGCGUAGGUGGUGGUUUAAGUCCGUUGUGAAAGCCCUGGGCUCAACCUGGGAAUUGCAGUGGAUACUGGGUCACUAGAGUGUGGUAGAGGAUAGUGGAAUUUCCGGUGUAGCAGUGAAAUGCGUAGAGAUCGGAAGGAACAUCUGUGGCGAAGGCGACUAUCUGGGCCAACACUGACACUGAGGCACGAAAGCGUGGGGAGCAAACAGGAUUAGAUACCCGCGUAGUCCCUGUCUCUUAUAC